rnacentral:rRNA from 1 species
UACGUAGGGGGCAAGCGUUGUCCGGAAUCAUUGGGCGUAAAGAGCGCGUAGGCGGCCCAGUAAGUCCGCUCUGAAAGUCAGGGGCUCAACCCCUGAAUGCGGGUGGAUACUGCUGGGCUAGAGUCCGGAAGAGGCGAGUGGAAUUCCUGGUGUAGCGGUGAAAUGCGCAGAUAUCAGGAGGAACACCGGUGGCGAAGGCGGGUCUCUGGGCCGUUACUGACGCUGAGGAGCGAGAGCGUGGGGAGCGAACAGG